UACGGAGGGUGCAAGCGUUAAUCGGAAUUACUGGGCGUAAAGCGCGCGUAGGUGGCUUGAUAAGCCGGUUGUGAAAGCCCCGGGCUCAACCUGGGAACGGCAUCCGGAACUGUCAAGCUAGAGUACAGGAGAGGAAGGUAGAAUUCCCGGUGUAGCGGUGAAAUGCGUAGAUAUCACGAGGAACACCAGAGGUGUAGACGGGUGACUGGACUGAUACUGACACUGAGGUGCGAAAGUGUGGGGAGCAAACAGG
rnacentral:misc_RNA from 1 species